GGGCCCGCACAAGCGGUGGAGCAUGUGGUUUAAUUCGAUGCAACGCGAAGAACCUUACCAGGGUUUGACAUCCUGCGAAUCUCCUGGAAACGGGAGAGUGCCUUCGGGAACGCAGUGACAGGUGGUGCAUGGCUGUCGUCAGCUCGUGUCGUGAGAUGUUGGGUUAAGUCCCGCAACGAGCGCAACCCACGUCUUUAGUUGCCAGCAUUUAGUUGGGCACUCUAGAGAGACCGCCGGUGAUAAACCGGAGGAAGGUGUGGAUGACGUCAAGUCAUCAUGCCCCUUACAUCCUGGGCUACACACGUACUACAAUGCUACGGACAAAGGGCAGCAAACUCGCGAGAGCUAGCAAAUCCCAUAAACCGUGGCUCAGUUCAGAUCGUAGGCUGCAACUCGCCUACGUGAAGGAGGAAUCGCCAGUAAUCGCAGGUC
rnacentral:rRNA from 1 species